AGGACGAUGUGUACGACACGGCCGUUGUCGAGCAGU
rnacentral:sRNA from 1 species